AAAGGAAGGGAUGACGGGCCGCAUUAAAGGCUUUUGCGUUCGCGAAAUCUCUUUCUAUCGGGAAUUCAAACCCGUCCUCAGUUCGGAUUGCAGGCUGCAACUCGCCUGCAUGAAGCCGGAAUUGCUAGUAAUCGUCGAUCAGCCAUACAACGGUGAAUUCGUUCCCGGGCCUUGUACA
rnacentral:ncRNA from 1 species